rnacentral:rRNA from 1 species
UACGUAGGUGGCAAGCGUUGUCCGGAUUUAUUGGGUUUAAAGGGUGCGUAGGCGGCCCUGUAAGUCAGUGCUGAAAUACCCCGGCUUAACCGGGGGGGGUGGCAUUGAUACUGCAGGGCUUGAGUACAGAUGAGGUAGGCGGAAUUGACGGUGUAGCGGUGAAAUGCAUAGAUAUCGUCAAGAACACCGAUAGCGAAGGCAGCUUACUGGGCUGUAACUGACGCUGAUGCACGAAAGUGUGGGGAUCAAACAGG